rnacentral:rRNA from 1 species
AACGAACGCUGGCGGCAGGCUUAACACAUGCAAGUCGAACGGGUGCAGCAAUGCAUCAGUGGCAGACGGGUGAGUAACACGUGGGAACCUUCCUAGGGGUACGGAACAACUCAGGGAAACUUGAGCUAAUACCGUAUACGUCCGUGAGGAGAAAGAUUCAUCGCCCCUAGACGGGCCCGCGUCGGAUUAGGUAGUUGGUGGGGUAACGGCCUACCAAGCCUACGAUCCGUAGCUGANCUGAGAGGAUGAUCAGCCACACUGGGACUGAGACACGGCCCAGACUCCUACGGGAGGCAGCAGUGGGGAAUCUUGGACAAUGGGCGCAAGCCUGAUCCAGCCAUGCCGCGUGAGUGAAGAAGGCC